rnacentral:rRNA from 1 species
AAUGAACGCUGGCGGCAUGCCUUACACAUGCAAGUCGAACGGCAACGCGGGGCAACACGGCGACGAGUGGCGAACGGGAGCGGAAUGUAUCGGAACGUGCCCAGUUGUGGGGGCUAACUGCUGGAAAGAGUAGCUAAAACCGAAUAACACAUGAGGGUGAAAGCGGGGGAUCGCAAGACCUCGCGCAAUUGGAGCGGCUGAUAUCAGAUUAGGUAGUUGGUGGGGUAAAGGCUCACCAAGCCAACGAUCUGUAGCUGGUCUGAGAGGACGACCAGCCACACUGGGACUGAGACACGGCCCAGACUCCUACGGGAGGCAACAGUGGGGAAUUUUGGACAAUGGACGCAAGUCUGAUCCAGCCAUGCCGCGUGCGGGAAUAAGGCCUUCGGGUUGUAAACCGCUUUUGUCAGGGAAGAAACGCUCUGGGUUAAUACCUCGGGGUAAUGACGUUACCUGAAGAAUAAGCACCGGCUAACUACGUGCCAGCAGCCGCCGUAACAC